rnacentral:rRNA from 1 species
UACGUAGGCAGCGAGCGUUGUUCGGAAUUACUGGGCGUAAAGCGCGUGUAGGCGGUUUCCCAAGUCGGGGGUGAAAGCCUUGAGCUCAACUCAAGAAAUGCACUCGGUACUGGGUGACUAGAGGACCGGAGAGGAUAGUGGAAUUCCCAGUGUAGUGGUGAAAUACGUAGAGAUUGGGAAGAACACCAGUGGCGAAGGCGGCUAUCUGGACGGUUUCUGACGCUAAGACGCGAAAGCGUGGGGAGCAAACAGG